UUUUUUUUUUUAAUUUUUUUUUUUAAAUCAUUUUUCAAUCAAAGGAAUAUAUGUUCAUGAUUUCUAAAAGAUCUAAUAAUGUCAAAAGGCUUUUUAAAAGAACAUAGCAGGCAGGUUCCUACCCCAAGCCCUGCCCCAUGGAAGUAGCCACUUUCAACUCUUAUCUCUUUUGUUGGGGUUUACCCCCCUUGUUUCUAAAUAAUAUGCUUAUAGUGAUACUUCUUGAUUUGUCAGUUUUAGACGUCUGUUGACUUCCUGCUGUAGGAAUUCUAGAAAAGUUUAUGCUCCCACUCCUUACACGUUCCCUUUCCCUUCUCCCAUCCUCCCAGUGUAUUUACAUAACAAUUUUUGGCUAAACUAUGAUUUCUGUUAAUAGCAUUGUGGUUAAGAGCCUGGUCCUGGGAAUCUGACCUUAUAGUGGGCUGGAGUCAGGGCUUUGAUGUUUGUCUUGCCCAAGAUCACUUCGGUAAAUUACUUAAUCUCUUGCAUCUUGGUUUCUUCAUCUGUAAAGUGGGGAUAAUAAUUUCACCCUCUUCAUUAGGUUGUUAUAAGGAUUAAAUAAGAUAAUGCAUGUGAAACAUUAAGCACAAGGCCUGGCACAUGGUAAGUGCUCAGAUGUUGGCUGUUAUUUUCUGCUUGCUCUACUUAAUGGCUUAGAGGAGACUGUAUUAGCCUCUCAUGAGACCCCUGCCCAAGGGAUGGAGGGAGAGUCUGAGAACUUUCUGGUCUGGUCAAGGUUUGCUCCUUCUCAUUAUGUUAAUAUUUAUUCUUAUCUGUUCCUUUCCCCUUUCUUGUACCAGUGGAGGGUCUUAAGGAUGUGAAGGGGCCUGUAGUAGUGUAACUACUCUCUUACCCAGAGUAAUCUUUGCUAGCACCAAGUCAGCUAGGACAGGUUUUAGACGAGUGAUGGUCAGCGUUUGUAUCUUGGCAUCCUGCUCUAGGUCCCUUUCCUCCUCCUUCUUUUUGACUCAUGGCUCAGGCAGCUGGUGUCCUAUGAUGCUCUGGGCCCCUUGGUAAGAGGAUUUUAAGUAAUCUAUCAGUGUUACCCUUCCUUAGAUAUUCGUAUUAUUUUCAUCUUCUCUAAUUUUUUUGUCUUGAUCAAUCUUGGGUAGAGAGUUUCUCUCAAUGCCUGGGUGGAUUUGGAAUUUUUUCAUCACCUACAGUCUGAACCUUUGUCUUUACCCUGGACUAGGUGUUAUGCCUAAUUUAGGAUCUCAGAAGCUGAGUUAGUUUAAUACCAAAGUCUUUCCUGAGCUCCAUUCCUUUAAAAAAAAAAAAAAAUUUUUUUUUGAACUAAAGUUGUGAUUUAUUGAAGGCUUACUAUGGGCCUAAUUUUUCUGUAACCACUUUAAUUAGGUAUAACUCGUGGACUGCACAAAUAACCUAUUUAAAAUGUACAAUUCAGUGGCUUUUCGUAUAUUUACUGAGUUAUACAGUCAUCAACACAAUCAAUUUUAGAACAUUCUCUUUACCUAUAAAGAAAUCCUGAUCCA